UACGUAGGGGGCAAGCGUUGUCCGGAUUCAUUGGGCGUAAAGAGCGUGUAGGCGGCCAGGUAGGUCGGUUGUGAAAACUGGAGACUCAACCUUCAGAGGUCGACCGAAACCAUCUGGCUAGAGUCCGGGAGAGGAGAGUGGAAUUCCUGGUGUAGCGGUGAAAUGCGCAGAUAUCAGGAGGAACACCAAUUGCGAAGGCAGCUCGCUGGGACGUUACUGACGCUGAGACGCGAAAGCGUGGGGAGCAAACAGG
rnacentral:rRNA from 1 species